rnacentral:rRNA from 1 species
CAGCAGCCGCGGUAAUACGAAGGGUGCAAGCGUUAAUCGGAAUUACUGGGCGUAAAGCGUGCGUAGGCGGUUUGUUAAGUCUGUUGUGAAAUCCCCGGGCUCAACCUGGGAAUGGCAAUGGAUACUGGCAAGCUAGAGUGUGUCAGAGGAUGGUGGAAUUCCCGGUGUAGCGGUGAAAUGCGUAGAGAUCGGGAGGAACAUCAGUGGCGAAGGCGGCCAUCUGGGACAACACUGACGCUGAGGCACGAAAGCGUGUGGAGCAAACAGGAUUAGAUACCCCAGUAGUCCCUGUCUCUUAUAC